UCAAAGAGUAAGUGUGGCCAGCAGCCUGGUGGCUCCACAGGGACUGCCAGAGCCCGACACCUGCCUGCAAAGCCACAGCCUGCCUGAACAAGCUGUGCUUUUGGCCACCCACCUCUUGCUGCUGCUGUGGGCUCAGCAUUCUGGGGGGAAAGUGGCACAGAAAAGCAUUUAUCUGUCUCCUUGUAGCGCUGCCUGCAGGCAUUGGGGGUGGCUCCACAAAGGGACUCUCAGCAGAAGGGCUGUCAGGGAGAGAGGUGCCCAUGUCUCAGCGAAGGCAGUCCCUCUGCUGUAGAGCCGCCUUGGCCAAGGAGCCUUCCUUGGGAUGGGCUUGGCUGACACCAGCAUGGGACACCUGUCUGGACAACACCUACUUCAUCCAUUCACGUUGCGUUCCUGUUCCCGCAGGGUGGCCGGCAAGUUACCCGAGGCCAACCUCCUCCUCCUCCGAACCUUGCUCAGCCUGCUCCACAAGAUCAGCACCAAUGUCCCUGUCACCAAGAUGACUGCCAGGAACCUGGCCAUCUGCGUGGGGCCCAACCUCCUCAGCCCACCCGAGGAGGACACGCUGGCCCUGGAUGUCCUGAUGCAGGUGACAGGGAAGGUGUCGGAGCUGGUUGAGUUCCUCAUCCAACACCAUGAGGAACUCUUUGAGGAGCAGGAGGAGGAGGAGGCUGAGCUUCCAGGUGCACCGGCCAAGGCUGAACUUGCCAGCCAACAGGCCGAGGAGUCACCGGCACCAGAAGAAGAAGGAGAAACUGCCGAGGUAUGUGAGGUCCACACAGAGCGUGAGAGAAUGCCUCCCCACCCAGAAGGUGGGAUUGCCACUGUAGGGACUCUCUGUGCGGUGAUCCCAGCAGAAGUGGCACAGCUGAGCUGAGCAAACCCAUCCAAGGGAUGUGCCUUUUAGAGCUGAGAUGGAGAGUGUGCAGGUGUCAUCUUCUAUGUUUCUACUGCAGGUGCCUCCAGUUCCUCACGAAUGUGAACCCCAGGAGAGCACCUCUGGGCAGAACAGGUGACAUGAGCUAGCUUUGAUGAAGAGUAGAAUUGAUUCAUGGUGAUCAGGGCUGUGCCUGUCUAACAAUCUUCCUGAAUGGACAGGUGUCCAAGCUCUUCGCAGCAAGGGGAAACACCAUCCCCCAGGAAGAGAAAGCACAGCUGCGAAGAGGAGGCCGGUGGCCCGCCACCCAAGCGAUGCCGAAAGCUGUGAACAGAGAGCUCAGCGAUGGGCUGUCGAGGUGGCCGAAGAAAUCACCCUCAUGCUGCCACCCUUUUGGCUCAGCUGGACGGUCUAGUGGGGCUUCUGAGAAAGAAGAUCACACCUCGUCCUUUCUGCAGAACUUUCACCAGCCCAUGAAGAAGUCUCACCAGUGUUGUCUGUGCGAGCCGUGAAAAGAGCUGCAGAAAGGGCACUUGACAGCUUUCAACACAUUUGUUUUCACAUGCCAGUUGGCAAUUUUCAGAUGUUUAGAACAGUGUUUUUAGCCACUAGGGUGAGAGAGUUUGUUAGUUCGUUUGUUUGUUAGUUGGUUAGAUAGUUAGUAAGUUAAGAAGUUAGUUAGUUAGUUAGUUAGUUAGUUAGUUAGUUAGUUUCUACUGUAGGUAGCUGUCUACUGAAGACGUUUUUUCACAUUCCAGUUUUCAUUUUUCAAAUAUUUCCAGUAACGUUUUGAGCCAGUUUGGCGAGAGAGUUUGUUAUUUAGUUAGUUUAGUUUCUACUGUAGGUGUGGGUGUUCACUGUAAAUCCCACCGAAUUUGCCUCUGAUACGACUGCGAUUACUCUUCGUCUCCAAGCAAAGCGCUGCGUCAGAAGAGGAUGCGGUCCAAAAAAGGAUUUGUUGGGCCCCUAAGCAUUUCAGGCUUUCUGAAAUCAAAUCAGAGCUAGCAGGAGCUGCAAACUGGAAAUACUGAUUUCCACGUAACCGACUACUACUUCUGUCGCUGAGCCAAGCGCACAAGUUGAGGGUCACUACAUGUUAAUAGUGGCUCUCUUGAUUUGGAGUGUUACUAAGACCUUGUGAGUCCCUCAAGGUAAUGAUUCCAAAUGAGGGUGGAAAGUAAGGCAUGGAAGAGAUGUCAUUAUAUCUGGGGGACACCAACCAGAAAUGUCAGACUGCACACCUACAGAAAAGUGCUGGAACCUGUGUCUUUCUGUAAAAAUGAAUAAAUGCUCAAAAUAAUUCCGUUAAACUAAAGUUUAUUUUAAUAAAAGCCAGAGGGAUUGGAGGUCGGGGGGUGUGAGAGGGACAUGCUUAUCUGAUAUUUACUCUGGUCAGCAUUUUUCUGGCUUUAGAACUGAAUAAAUUUUGGUUGUCUAUUGCUUUGAAUUUUUAGAUCCUACAACACAAAAAACCUCUAUCCGCCUAUACUUGUGUGUGAGGGGGUGCAGCAGCACCUCUGGUGGAUAGAUGUAAACUACCGUAGUCCAGAAGCUCCCGCUACCAUGAGACAGUUUUUUCCAGCCCGUUUCUCCCUCUUCCCUAUCAAGAUUCUUCCCUACGACAUCCA